UAACUUAGUGGCGAACGGGUGAGUAACACGUGAGGAACCUGCCCUGGAGUGGGGGACAACAGUUGGAAACGACUGCUAAUACCGCAUAAGCCCACAGCACCGCAUGGUGCAGAGGGAAAAGGAGCAAUUCGCUUCAGGAUGGCCUCGCGUCCAAUUAGGUAGAUGGUGAGGUAACGGCCCACCAUGCCGACGAUUGGUAGCCGGACUGAGAGGUUGAACGGCCACAUUGGGACUGAGACACGGCCCAGACUCCUACGGGAGGCAGCAGUGGGGAAUAUUGCACAAUGGGGGAAACCCUGAUGCAGCGACGCCGCGUGGAGGAAGAAGGUUUUCGGAUUGUAAACUCCUGUCUUCGGGGACGAUAAUGACGGUACCCGAGGAGGAAGCCACGGCUAACUACGUGCCAGCAGCCGCGGUAAAACGUAGGUGGCAAGCGUUGUCCGGAAUUACUGGGUGUAAAGGGAGCGCAGGCGGGUCGGCAAGUUGGAGGUGAAAGCUGUGGGCUCAACCCACAAACUGCCUUCAAAACUGCCGGUCUUGAGUGGUGUAGAGGUAGGCGGAAUUCCCGGUGUAGCGGUGGAAUGCGUAGAUAUCGGGAGGAACACCAGUGGCGAAGGCGGCCUACUGGGCACUAACUGACGCUGAGGCUCGAAAGCAUGGGUAGCAAACAGG
rnacentral:rRNA from 1 species